rnacentral:misc_RNA from 1 species
UUUCCGUAGGUGAACCUGCGGAAGGAUCAUUAAACGUAUCCAACGUUUAACUCUUUGUGAACUUGUUUUCUAAACACUUCAUGGUGAGCGGUGGCAUUUGAGAUAGUGUGAGUGCUACAGGUUGAGAAGAUGUUAAAAAGUUUUCUCGAGAGCUCUACUUAUCGACGCCACGUGUCACAAGAAGAUAAAAUCCUGUGGGUGUUUUUUUCUACCAUUUUUAACGCUUUUGUAAAUUCUGAUGAAACUUGUGGAUAUACCUAACGGUUGUUCACGUUAAAUUUCAAACGAAAUUAUACGCACAACUCUUAACAACGGAUAUCUAGGCUCUC